GGCCCCGGUUCCGGACCCAGCGUACCCGCCCAACCAUGAGACGAUCACCUACACUCGUCUCCCUCAUUUUGUCUAUUAGAUGGCCAUCAGCCUGCGCCGGCUGUUAUGCCAACUCUCCCCAACGAAGAAAAUUUAACCGGACAUUUCCCUCAUCAGAUACGCUAUUUCAAAUCUCAUACAAGUGGAUAUUUGGUUAGCUUCACAUGUGCGUAUAAUGCACUAAGUGGAACAGGCGACGAAAUUCUACAAAGAUAUUGCAAGUCGCCGCAAAAAAAAAACACGCACGGAAGCAAUUUAGAGGCAAUGUGCCCACACAUCUACGCAAAACUGGGUAUGUUACGAUAAUCGGUCGUGCAACAGCUCUCUGUGGGAGGUAAGGGGCGAUGUAAAUGGAUAAUUCCAAUUAGUGAAUCUCGGCGUAAGUGCCUAUGGCGUACGGUCAGGAGCCUCCAUCAUAUCUCUGCCAAGGGUCGAACGAGGAUGGGCAAAAAUGGAACGGACUCACUCGGAGGAUGUGGGCGUGAUCUCGCCUGUGCCGCGUCUUCGCUGUUGGCGUCCGGUCCGUGAUGGCUCGUCCCUCCGUCUCGUGGAUUACGCCGACACUUGGCUGGCGGCUUCGCGGAUAUGGCUGGUGUGUGCCGCUGAGCCGAUUCCUGGCCUUUGCUAUGUUAGAGGGCUUCUCUGGUGUGGGAGCUGGUCCCUUUGUUGCCGGAACCGUUAAUAUUUAUUUUUUUUGCUUGUCUCGUCGCACUUAAGUUUUAAAUUCUUUCUUUUGCAAUACCUUAGCGCAUAGGGGUUAAGCGAUUUACU